rnacentral:rRNA from 1 species
UAAAACCAGCACCUCGAGUGGUCAGGAGGUUUAUUGGGCCUAAAGCAUCCGUAGCCGGUUGUUUAAGUUUUCGGUUAAAUCUAUGCGCUUAACGUAUAGGCUGCCGAAAAUACUGGACAGCUAGGGAGUGGGAGAGGUACACGGUACUCAAUAGGAAGGGGUAAAAUCCUUUGAUCUGUUGAUGACCACCUGUGGCGAAGGCGGUGUACCAGAACACGUUCGACGGUGAGGGAUGAAAGCUGGGGGAGCAAACCGGAUUAGAUACCCGGGUAGUCCCAGCUGUAAACGAUGCAAACUCGGUGAUGCAUUGGCUUGUGGCCAAUGCAGUGCCGCAGGGAAGCCGUUAAGUUUGCCGCCUGGGAAGUACGUACGCAAGUAUGAAACUUAAAGGAAUUGACGG